AUUAUUUCCCUCGAGUUUUGCCGAGAUCUACCGCACGCUACACAGCCAACAAUUUUACAGUCUUUUUCGAUAAAUCACAAUAGUGUCACUGUUAAUUUAAGUUCUGCCACAAUUCGUAUCUAGAUUUACUAUAUACCACUAUCAGUGGUAGAAUAAAUAAUAAAUAACAUAAAAUAAGUUCAAUAAAGACUGUCAAAUCCACAAAAUUUCAAAUCAAAUUCAAAUGUGUCAAACAGAACUGUCAAGGAUCCCCACCCAUGCAUGAAUAUGCUAGCUGAUAUGAAUAUAAUGCUCCUUCCUAAAUCUUUUUAUUCAAAGAUUUUCUAUAAUCAGAUAAUGGUAAAGAUUGUUCAGCUAUCGUUCAACGUUACGUCAUCAUUAUUUGUCAAAUACUUAGAUCUUAUAAAAUAAGAUCUAAGGUCAAAUAUGAAAUAUAAUCAUAUUUUUUAGGAAAUUUCAAGUACGUUCCAAAAUUAGUAAUUUAGAAUGCGUUCCGAAUUUAUUAAUUUCAAAUAAGUAUAUUUGACAUUAAGUAAUUUUAGUUGCUUUCAAUUUACAUUUUUUGUCGCAUAUAAUAGAUUUAGCGAUAAACAUAUUUUAGUAACUAACGGAUUUGAAUAAGUUUAUUUGAUAGCGCUGUUGUUUGUUAAUUUUGACAUUGAUCGACACCUGUCAGCACGGUCAUAACCACAGACGUGAAAUGACAUUUACUAGAAACAAUAUGCUGUGAUUACGAAAUGUCAUAAUGAUGCCUAGCAUCUGUUUCAUUCCUUUAUAACAAGAAAGAGAGAGUACGACAUAAUAAAAUGAGGUAACAUUGAAUGAUCAUCAUACUUUAAUAUGAAUUUACUUGAUAAAACUAUUAUUAUUGCUUUUACAGUAACAAAUACUACUAUUUUACCUUUUAAGCAAGCCUCUAGCUUCUGGUUUAUAAAAUAAAUGAACUAUUCUCUUAAGCAUUUUUAUUUCGUUUGUUUUAAUUGCUUAUUAUUGAUAUUACUUUCCUCUCUUGUCUAGUGAAGAACCAAAAAAAUGCACAAGAAAUAUUUCUAUACGUUUUAAUUGUAAUAAACUUAAAUAAUUAUAAUUAUUAUGUCAUUAUUUUGGAAACGUUUUUUUUUCAUUAAUUAUGAACUGUUCCUUUUAAAGGAUUUUCUUCUGUAUUUUUGAAUCUGUAAAAUGAAUGGCCAGCAAGUUGAAGCACUGUCGUUAUUCUGUUUUUUUAGUAAGGUAUUUUGUAAAGAAAUGAAUUUAUCUAUUAGUUUGUAUUGAUAAUUUUUCUAUGGAGUAAAUGGUUUUAUAUUGUGCUAUACCGGAUGUCUCAGUACCUAAACAAGUUUUUAUUUUCCAUGAUCGCCAGCGUACAUAUAUUUUAUAGGAUAUUUCAAAUCUAAACCAAACUCCCUUUAUAACAGUGCAUCAUAAGUUAAAGUUUUUUUUGAUUCAGUCUUAUAAAAUAUACAGGGUGUAUUAUAAAAAGAAAAGGUCAAAGGGCUUUGAUUUUAAUUCGGGUAUUUCGUUAGACCAGGUGUACUGGGACACCUGGUAUAUUAAAUAAAUUAAAUAACGCCCCAAGUAAAAAAAACUUGAAAAAUAUACGUAUUUAUAAACAAAUUUCUAGGUUAAUUAACGAAACAACAGUCUUGAAAUCUUUGUCUAAAAGGAAUGGCUUGCUUUCUGUAAUUAUUAGUCAUUCUUAAGCUUCAUUCAGAACCUCGCAAUUAGUGGUUUCAAUUAUACUUUAUACAUUUUAGUUUACAAUAAUUCACAAUGUCUAAAAAACAAUUAAAAUUAAUAGAAUGUCCUAGCAACAGCUUGCGGUAAUCAUUUGUUUCCAUAGAGAAAGCCUAAUAUUUAGCUUAUAAAACAAUAAACUUUUGAUUUCUAACCACAUUUUUCUCUUGACAGAUGACAAUCAAAGGCCAAAAUGACAUUCCUCGCAAAUUUUGAAGUAUAAUUAGUGGAAAAGUUGAAAGUUUGUUAACUUUUUCCACUAAUUUUGACGUUCUGAAUGAAGCUUUGCACUCGAUUUUAAAUAUAUUUUUUAUGGGUGAUAUAAUUUUUCAGUUGUUCUUAAAUAUCAUAUUUUUAAACGCAUGUAAAUAUCUAGGGUAAUAGAAUUAUUCAAUUUUAAUUAUUUAUUAUGGACAUUUUUAUAUCCCCUCUCUUCAAAUUUCUUGGUCACAAAAUGUCCAAGUGUCAUCAAGUUCUUGAAUGACUGUGAAAAAUAAGAGGUAGUGUUUAAAGGAUUUAGCAUAAGUUUCGUUAUGUUGUUUUUUUAAUUGUUUAAACACAGAAUUUAAUAAAUGUGUAAAUAUUUA
rnacentral:lncRNA from 1 species